rnacentral:rRNA from 1 species
UACGUAGGGGGCUAGCGUUGUCCGGAAUCAUUGGGCGUAAAGCGCGUGUAGGCGGUCCGGUAAGUCCGCUGUGAAAGUCGGGGGCUCAACCCUCGAAUGCCGGUGGAUACUGUCGGGCUAGAGUGCGGAAGAGGCGAGUGGAAUUCCUGGUGUAGCGGUGAAAUGCGCAGAUAUCAGGAGGAACACCUAUUGCGAAGGCAGCUCGGUGGGACGUAACUGACGCUGAGACGCGAAAGCGUGGGGAGCAAACAGG